rnacentral:rRNA from 1 species
AUGAAUCUUCUUAGUUGGAACUGCCAGGCGGCGGGGAACUCCCGGACAGUUCGAGACCUAAGUGCUUUGGUACAAGCACACUCUCCCAUGUUGGUUUUCUUGUGUGAAACCAGACAGUCCAAAGUAAAAAUGAAGAGAUACAGAUUAAGACUAGGACUAAAAGGAUUUGAGGCAGUGGAUAGCAAUGGAAAUAGUGGAGGUCUAGCACUGUUUUGGCAUGAAUCA